rnacentral:rRNA from 1 species
GACGAACGCUGGCGGCGUGCCUAAUACAUGCAAGUAGAACGCUGAAGGAGGAGCUUGCUUCUCUGGAUGAGUUGCGAACUGGUGAGUAACGCGUAGGUAACCUGCCUGGUAGCGGGGGAUAACUAUUGGAAACGAUAGCUAAUACCGCAUAAGAGUAGAUGUUGCAUGACAUUUGCUUAAAAGGUGCAAUUGCAUCACUACCAGAUGGACCUGCGUUGUAUUAGCUAGUUGGUGGGGUAACGGCUCACCAAGGCGACGAUACAUAGCCGACCUGAGAGGGUGAUCGGCCACACUGGGACUGAGACACGGCCCAGACUCCUACGGGAGGCAGCAGUAGGGAAUCUUCGGCAAUGGACGGAAGUCUGACCGAGCAACGCCGCGUGAGUGAAGAAGGGUUUCGGAUCGUAAAGCUCUGUUGUAAGAGAAGAACGAGUGUGAGAGUGGAAAGUUCACACUGUGACGGUAUCUUACCAGAAAGGGACGGCUAACUACGUG